UAUCACAAAUACUGUAAAUGCUCUUUUCAUUUAGAAAAUAAAUAAGAAUGAAGUGAGAACAAUGCAUUAGGUACAAAAUGUUCUUGAACUCUAUUUUAACAUAUUGUGCUGGAUUUGCCUGUUUCCAGUAAAAAACAAGUGACUUGUGUGAUGAAUUUUAUGUCCACAUUCCUUGGUGUGGAUGUUGACAUAGUCUACAAACAGGAUGAGAGAUAUCAUUGUGUUGAGACCAAUGAAAUCUCUCCCAAAUUUGGUCUCCUCAUGUUUGAUACCAGGUGAGCUGUUCUGUCAAAGCAACCUGUUUUGCUUCUUUCUGCAUCAAAAACUCUUUUACAGAGAAGGCUUUCAAUCUUGCCAAGGUCUGAAAAUAGGGCAAUACCACAGAGGUAGAUUUUCUUUAACUUUAGAAUCUUUUCAGGGGUGAUGAAUUAAUGAAAAUAUCAACCUAUACUGCCCUUCAUUUAAGUUAACUCCAUUUAUAUGCAGUUCUUGUGAACUAGCACUAUGAAAUAAACUGAAAGGCAUAAAUAAGUGUUAAUUUGAAACACAAAGGACUUUAUUUGUUCAAGAAGUAAUUGAGUAACCACCAUUGUUAACUGCAAUGAAUGGUGACAUUUUAUGGAGAUGGAUGUAAAUGUGCCCCACACAGACUAAUAUUCCUAUAGACAACUUAGGCAAAUAUAGACAAAUUUUUUUUACUGUUGUCUUUGGGGUUUGGGUUUUGUCUUUUAAGAGGGAGUGGAGGGUUUAUGUUGUUUUUUUUAUGUCAUGGAGCAUUUGAGGAACAAGGAAAACAUAAGUAAAACAUGCUUAAAAUGUGAAGCUAGAAUGGAUGAUUUGAGGAGAGCUAACCUGCUUUUUGGGUAAAAUCAGGAAUAAGAGAUCAGAUAUGCACACUGAAUAAAUGGAUCAUGUCCACUCUCUUAUUUAAAUGAUGAAGUGAUGAAGGAAAAAUGUGUUUAUGUAAUUCUGAUGGCCUAGUUAUAGCACAUAAACUAGUCCUUUUAGCAGAUGCUAGAGACAGCUGAAAGGUAACACGCAGGCAGAGGUCUCAGCGCUAGUAGCACAGACGCUCACCACAAUCAAUAGCAAGAUCAUUACCAAUUAAUCACUUUGGUGACUGAUGAACUCCAAAGGUUUCCAGUAGAGUUCAUGAUUCAGAGCUCAGACGUGGAUGUAGCCCAGAGAUGCAGGUUAUUAACUUUCCAUGGACCACCCACAAUUGCAAGGACAAAUCAACCUUUUAAUGCAAAACAGUGGAAAGGGUAUACAAAUGGCAUGUCAAAGUUGUAGUUAUUUCUGUAACACUGGGAAAGGAUUUUUUCCUUUGAUACAGUGCCACUGAUCACUUGUGGAGAAAAUGUGCUUUACUGAAUGCAGUUCAGAAGUUCUGGGUGUGAACCAGAAGGAUAUGAGAAGGUCAUUUGAUUUGGGGAACAUUUGUGAGUUAGUCUUUCUCUGUUUACUGAUUAAAUAAAUCACUUAACCUUUGUGCCUCUGUUUUCCCAGCUGUGUGUACUAUGAAAUGCAACUCAUCCUGCAGAUCUAUUUUAAGGAUCAGUAGGUUGUUCUGUUAAUAUCUGCCAAGGGAUCUGACUAAAGAAAUGAGAAGGUAAAUACAAUGUGGUCAUAAUUUCCCAACAGAACUUGCAACUACUUGCAAUUUUUAGCUAGACUAGAACCAUAAAGGCUCACAGAGACAUAAGAGUUUCUGUUAGGAAGCUCAAACAUAGGCAGAAGAAGUCAGCUUAAAUCAGCUAUUUGCCAGGUGCCCCCUAGAUCUAAGCCACUCCUCCUAGGCUAUAAAUCAGAAAAUCAACAAAAUAGAACCUGUCUACAGACUGCCUACGGACAACUCCUGCUGGAGAGAGGCCAAAGGAGAGGAAUCAGAAUGCAGGGGAGACGGGCAUCGCCUCAAGGCUGAGGCACCGUUCCUGCCAGAUAACCAAGAGCCACAAAUGCUGGUGCUCUCAAAGAAGAAGGGGAGGAUUCAAAAGCUUUGGCACAGAGAGCCAAAAGAUCCAUAAUGGAAGAAAUGGGAAAGAAUAUGAAGACCUUUAUAUGGUUCAAAUGUAUAAGAUGGGCUACAGCCUCAUAAAACAAAUGUAGGCAAUCCAGAGAAGCUAAAGAAGGUGUAUGUCUCCUUUGUGCCAGGACACCUGCAGAAGAUAAAACUGUUGUAGAGAGGGAUCCACGGAUCUAUUAUCCAUUGUGUUUUAUGAAGGGAGAACUUGUUAUUUGGAGGUUGUAUGUUGUCAUGAACCAAUGACAAAUUUUAUUAUAAAUGUCAUUUGGUAUCAACACAAGAAUAGUUGUAGGAGAUUUUUAAGUUCAGCUCCCAAUUUUUGAUUGCAGAUUUAACAAGUCUUCCUUUUGCCUGUCUCUUUGCCUUUUCCUUUCCUUUAAUAUGUACUUAACACUAAAAGUCACUGUGUUAUGCAUAAAGAAAAACAGUGUUGUGUUGGCACUAUAGCAAAUAUGAUAUAUGAAUUAGCAGUUCACUUCUUAAUACUGAAACUAGAGAAAGGUACACAGAAAUCCUGUACUCUUUGAAGCAUAGGAAAUAUACAUACCUUUUCUUCUUGUACUUUUGAAGACAUUGUUCCUUCAAUUGCAGGCAAAAUUUGCAAUGGAUAAUAAACAGGAUUCACAUUCUCAGCACUCAGUCAAUUAAAAGAAAUACCAAUUACAUUCUGUGAAUAUCGCCGUGUUGCCAAAGC